rnacentral:rRNA from 1 species
AUUGAACGCUGGCGGCAUGCCUAACACAUGCAAGUCGAACGAGUGGCGGACGGGUGAGUAAUAUCUCGGAAUCUGCCCAGUAGCGGGGGAUAACUACUCGAAACUGUAGCUAAUACCGCAUACUAUUGGAUCGGCCCAUAUGGGAGUAGCUAGUUGGUGGGGUAAAGGCUCACCUAGGCGACGAUCCCUAGCUGGUUUGAGAGGAGGACCAGCCAAACUGGAACUGAGACACGGCCCAGAAUCCUACGGGAGGCAGCAGUGGGGAAUAUUGGACAAUGGGCGAAAGCCUGAUGCAGCCAUGCCGCGUGUAUGAAGAAGGCCUGCGGGUUGUAAAGUACUUUGAGCGGGGAGGCGUUAUCUGAAGAAGAAGCACCGGCUAACUACGUGCCAGCAGCCGCGGUAAUUC